rnacentral:rRNA from 1 species
UACGUAGGGGGCAAGCGUUGUCCGGAAUCAUUGGGCGUAAAGAGCGCGUAGGCGGUCCGGUAAGUCGGUUGUGAAAACUGGGGGCUCAACCCUCAGAGGCCGACCGAUACUGCCGGGCUAGAGUCCGGAAGAGGCGAGUGGAAUUCCUGGUGUAGCGGUGAAAUGCGCAGAUAUCAGGAGGAACACCAAUGGCGAAGGCAGCUCGCUGGGACGGUACUGACGCUAAGGCGCGAAAGCGUGGGGAGCAAACAGG